rnacentral:rRNA from 1 species
AGGUCUCGUUGGUGACAGCGGAGGGAUCAUUAAAGAGUUAUUACAACUCCCAAACCCAUGUGAACCUACCUUUGUUGCCUCGGCAGGUCCGCAGCUUACCCUGUGAGACCCUACCCUGUAGGGACCUUACCCUGUAGUUGCAGGUAAAACCUGCCGGUGGUCUACUAAACUCUGUUUACUAUGUUAUUCUGAAUACUAUAACUAAAUAAGUUAAAACUUUCAACAACGGAUCUCUUGGUUCUGGCAUCGAUGAAGAACGCAGCGAAAUGCGAUAAGUAAUGUGAAUUGCAGAAUUCAGUGAAUCAUCGAAUCUUUGAACGCACAUUGCGCCCAUUAGUAUUCUAGUGGGCAUGCCUGUUCGAGCGUCAUUUCAACCCUCAAGCCCUAGUUGCUUGGUGUUGGGAGCUUAUCCUGUCGGAAGGCGGGACAACUCCUUAAAAUUAUUGGCGGAGUCGCGGUGACCCCAAGCGCAGUAAUUCCUUUUCUCGCUUUAGGUGUUAACGCUGGCCUCUAGCCAUUAAACCUCUCUAUUUUCUCAAAUGGUUGACCUCGGAUCAGGUAGGACUACCCGCUGAACUUAAGCAUAUCAAUAAGCGGAGGA